rnacentral:ncRNA from 2 species
CAUUCAUCCAGAAGGGUGAAGGGAGCAGGCCCGAUGAAGCCCUGGCAACCGCCGUCGGCACCCCCCGACGGAAAGGUGCCCCAUCCUGCCUCGACUGCUGUCGAGGAAAGAUGAGUG